UACAGGAGGUCUCAAGCGUUGUUCGGAUUCAUUGGGCGUAAAGGGUGCGUAGGUGGCGCCGUAAGUCGGGUGUGAAAUUUCGGAGCUUAACUCCGAAACUGCAUUCGAUACUGCGGUGCUUGAGGACUGGAGAGGAGACUGGAAUUCAUGGUGUAGCAGUGAAAUGCGUAGAGAUCGUAAGGAAGACCAGUGGCGAAGGCGGGUCUCUGGACAGUUCCUGACACUGAGGCACGAAGGCCAGGGGAGCAAACGGG
rnacentral:rRNA from 1 species